rnacentral:tRNA from 1 species
AAAGGGAGACCUAAUUCGGGUAGGAGACGAAAAAAAAGUAGUCCCUACCAAGAAUCAAUCCCAAAAGGUCGGAACGAGGUAUGUGGCUUUCAAACUAGGUUCUGGGUUCAUAAAAGACCUGAAUCAGGAACAAGGGCUAUUAGCUCAGGUGGUUAGAGCGCACCCCUGAUAAGGGUGAGGUCCCUGGUUCGAGUCCAGGAUGGCCCACCUGCACAGGUGGCAAAAACAAGAGAAACGAGGAAUCAGCACCUUAUCUUACUUACAUAGUAAGAGAGAAUGCUGGCUCUGAGUACAGAGUCCAGAGGAACCUUGAAAACUGCAUAGAGCUAGGUGAAAAAGCCAAAAAAGAAGACCGUCAG